AUUGAACGCUGGCGGCAUGCUUUACACAUGCAAGUCGAACGGCAGCGCGGGCUUCGGCCUGGCGGCGAGUGGCGAACGGGUGAGUAAUGCAUCGGAACGUGCCCAGUAGUGGGGGAUAGCCCGGCGAAAGCCGGAUUAAUACCGCAUACGACCUGAUGGUGAAAGCGGGGGACCGAAAGGCCUCGCGCUAUUGGAGCGGCCGAUGUCGGAUUAGCUAGUUGGUGGGGUAAAGGCUUACCAAGGCGCCGAUCCGUAGCUGGUCUGAGAGGACGACCAGCCACACUGGGACUGAGACACGGCCCAGACUCCUACGGGAGGCAGCAGUGGGGAAUUUUGGACAAUGGGGGCAACCCUGAUCCAGCCAUGCCGCGUGCGGGAAGAAGGCCUUCGGGUUGUAAACCGCUUUUGUUCGGGAAGAAAUCCUCUGGGCUAAUACCCCGGGGGGAUGACGGUACCGGAAGAAUAAGCACCGGCUAACUACGUG
rnacentral:rRNA from 1 species